rnacentral:rRNA from 1 species
GGUGACCUGCGGAGGGAUCAUUACAGAGAACAUCGCCCUCACGGGUGACUCUCCAACCCUAUGUUAUUAAAACCUUUGUUGCUUUGGCGAGCCGCUUCGGCCACCGGCCUCUGCUGGUGUGCGCUCGCCAGAGGACCCCAAACUCUGUUUAUUAGUGUCGUCUGAGUACUAUAUAAUAGUUAAAACUUUCAACAACGGAUCUCUUGGUUCUGGCAUCGAUGAAGAACGCAGCGAAAUGCGAUAAGUAAUGUGAAUUGCAGAAUUCAGUGAAUCAUCGAAUCUUUGAACGCACAUUGCGCCCCGUGGUAUUCCGCGGGGCAUGCCUGUUCGAGCGUCAGUACAACACUCAAGCUCUGCUUGGUAUUGGACCCCACCGGUAACACGGUCGGUCUUAAAAUCAGUGGCGGCGCCACCUGGCUCUAAGCGUAGUAAUACUCCUCGCUACAGAGUCCCGGUGGAUGUUUGCCAGCAACCCCCAACUUUCUAAGUUUGACCUCGGAUCAGGUAGGGAUACCCGCUGAACUUAAGCAUAUCAAUAAGCGGAGGAAAAGAAACCAACAGGGAUUGCCUCAGUAACGGCGAGUGAAGCGGCAACAGCUCAAAUUUGAAAUCUGGGUCUUUCAGGCUCCGAGUUGUAAUUUGUAGAAGAUGCUUCGGGUGUGGCUCCGGUCUAAGUUCCUUGGAAACAGGACGUCAUAGAGGGUGAGAAUCCCGUACGUGACUGGUUGCCUUCGCUCAUGUGAAGCUCUUUCGACGAGUCGAGUUGUUUGGGAAUGCAGCUCAAAAUGGGUGGUAAAUUUCAUCUAAAGCUAAAUAUUGNNAGAGACCGAUAGCGCACAAGUAGAGUGAUCGAAAGAUGAAAGCACUUU